rnacentral:rRNA from 1 species
UACGAAGGGAGCUAGCGUUGUUCGGAAUCACUGGGCGUAAAGCGCACGUAGGCGGAUGUGUCAGUCAGGGGUGAAAUCCCGGAGCUCAACUUCGGAACUGCCUUUGAUACAGCACGUCUUGAGUCCGAUAGAGGUGGGUGGAAUUCCUAGUGUAGAGGUGAAAUUCGUAGAUAUUCGCAAGAACACCAGUGGCGAAGGCGGCUCACUGGCCCGAUACUGACGCUGAGGCACGAAAGCGUGGGGAGCAAACAGGG